CCUACGGGGGGCAGCAGUAGGGAAUCUUCCACAAUGGACGAAAGUCUGAUGGAGCAAUGCCGCGUGAGUGAUGAAGGAUUUCGGUUCGUAAAACUCUGUUGCGAGGGAAGAACAAGUGUAAAGUAACUACUUACACCUUGACGGUACCUCGUUAGAAAGCCACGGCUAACUACGUGCCAGCAGCCGCGGUAAUACGUAGGUGGCAAGCGUUGUCCGGAAUUAUUGGGCGUAAAGCGCACGCAGGCGGCCUUCUAAGUCUGAUGUGAAAUCCCACGGCUUAACCGUGGAAGGUCAUUGGAAACUGGAAGGCUUGAGGAUAGAAGAGGAAAGUGGAAUUCCACGUGUAGCGGUGAAAUGCGUAGAGAUGUGGAGGAACACCAGUGGCGAAGGCGACUUUCUG
rnacentral:rRNA from 1 species